rnacentral:rRNA from 1 species
UAUGGGUUUAUUUACCUCUUAGACAUACAGGUUUGGUCCCAACCUUAAAAUCAAUCUUCACUUGACUUACACAUGCAAGUUUCCGCAGACCCGUGAGAACGCCCUUGCACCCACAUAGGGACAAGGAGCUGAUAUCAGGCACAACCUACUGCCCAUGACAUCUAGCCAUGCCACACCCACAAGGGCCUUCAGCAGUGAUUAAUAUUAAAAAUAAACGUCAGUUUGACUUAGUCAAUGAGAACAGAGCCGGCUAAUCUGGUGCCAGCCGCCGCGGCUACACCAUGUGGCUCAAAUUGAUUUUACACGGCGUAAAGCGUGAUUAAAGAAAACAUAACCACUGGGGUUAAACUAUAACUAACUUGUGAAAUGCUUAUGCUUAGGAAAGCCUUAAUCGAAAGAUACCCCAGACUACCAACUUGAACUCACGAUAAUUAGAACACAAACUGGGAUUAGAUACCCCACUAUGCUAAUUAUAAACUUUUACUUACACCACCUAUCGCCAGGGAACUACGAGCAAAGCUUAAAA